CCUAAUUUAAAUCAACACACUUCCUGUCCGCCCGGUUUAUCAUUCCUGCUGUUGCUGUAGCGGAUACCGGAAGAAUGACUUUGAACUUGCUUGUAGAUCAACAGAAAACGGACGUAUUUUCAGUUUGACACAUUAACACAGAUACCCCUUCACGAUGACCUCCCCUACCCCUCAACCCCAUAACCGCAGGAGGCCGAGUGAAGAUGAGGAGGACCCAGUGGAUCACAUGAUUGUUAAAACAGGCUGUGCCCAGUUGCAUUAUGCUGUGCAGGACUGUAUGGCUGAAAACCAGGACUGGAGAAAGUGACAGCUGCAAGUUCAAACCUUUAAGAACUGUAUGGUGGCAUAUCAAAAAACAAAGAGGGAAGAACUCACAAAACACAGACAGAAACUGCCACAGACACAGAGCUGAUGAUAUUAGAGCAGACAUUGUUUUGUUUAACCAGGAUUUGGUAAAUUGGGUCCUUGAUGGUCAUUUCACCUAAAACCUUCACUAUUUUAGUACCUGGCCAGAGGUUAAAUGGACAUGCGUGGGAUACAGACCUGUGUAAAGUUACAAUACUAUGCAUAUCACAAUAUGCUGGUCAGGAUAAUGUAUUAUUAAAGGAACAUGUAUUAUUUUUCAUACCUGAA